rnacentral:misc_RNA from 1 species
UCCAACAGCCAUUAUAGCCCCCUGGCCAGGAGGAAGAAUAGCAUCAAAUCGGUCCACACCAAACAUGCCCAAGUUGGACAAAGUGAAAGUCCCUGAAUUGUACUCAUGUGGUUGUAGUUGCUUAGCCCUAGCCUUCUCUACCAGUUCCUUCCACUUUUGAGACAACAGAUACAGAUCCAACUUGUCAGCAUCCUGAAGCACCGGUGUUAUCAACCCACCGUUAAUGGCCACCGCAACAGCAAUAUUAAUACUGCUGUUGUACGUAAAGCUCUUUCCAUCUUUACAAGAAGAAUUCACAACUGGAUGUUGAGCUAGUGCCAUUGCCGCAGCUUUGGCCAACAAUGCGGUCAUUGUAACACCCUUCUUCUUGACCUUUAGGUAUAAAGCAUCAAGGGCAUCAGUAAUAACUGGAUACCCAACACGAAAUGUUGGAACAGAGAGACUCUCCACCAUAUUCUUGGACACUGCAACUUGCAUUGUUGUGAACGGAACAACUGUUGACCCAGGAAUCUCUGGUAAACUAACCGGAGCAGCUUUAGCUGGCGCACCCGCUGCCGGAGCAGCAGCAGGAGGAGGAGGAGGAGGAGGAG